AGGACGAACGCUGGCGGCGUGCUUAACACAUGCAAGUCGAGCGAAGCCCAUCCUUCGGGGUGGUGACUGAGCGGCGAACGGGUGAGUAACACGUGGGCAACCUACCCUCAGCUCUGGGAUAACCCCGGGAAACCGGAGCUAAUACCGGAUAUGACCUUGAACGACAUCGUUCUUGGUGGAAAGUUUUUCGGCUGAGGAUGGGCCCGCGGCCUAUCAGCUUGUUGGUGAGGUAACGGCCCACCAAGGCGACGACGGGUAGCCGGCCUGAGAGGGCGAUCGGCCACACUGGGACUGAGACACGGCCCAGACUCCUACGGGAGGCAGCAGUGGGGAAUAUUGCGCAAUGGGCGAAAGCCUGACGCAGCGACGCCGCGUGAGGGAUGAAGGCCUUCGGGUUGUAAACCUCUUUCAGCAGGGACGAUUGUGACGGUACCUGCAGAGAGCCCGGCCAACUACGCGCCAGCAGCCGC
rnacentral:rRNA from 1 species